GUGGCAGACGGGUGAGUAACGCGUGGGAACAUACCCUUUCCUGCGGAAUAGCUCCGGGAAACUGGAAUUAAUACCGCAUACGCCCUACGGGGGAAAGAUUUAUCGGGGAAGGAUUGGCCCGCGUUGGAUUAGCUAGUUGGUGGGGUAAAGGCCUACCAAGGCGACGAUCCAUAGCUGGUCUGAGAGGAUGAUCAGCCACAUUGGGACUGAGACACGGCCCAAACUCCUACGGGAGGCAGCAGUGGGGAAUAUUGGACAAUGGGCGCAAGCCUGAUCCAGCCAUGCCGCGUGAGUGAUGAAGGCCUUAGGGUUGUAAAGCUCUUUCACCGAUGAAGAUAAUGACGGUAGUCGGAGAAGAAGCCCCGGCUAACUUCGUGCCAGCAGCCGCGGUAAUACGAAGGGGGCUAGCGUUGUUCGGAAUUACUGGGCGUAAAGCGCACGUAGGCGGAUAUUUAAGUCAGGGGUGAAAUCCCGCAGCUCAACUGCGGAACUGCCUUUGAUACUGGGUAUCUUGAGUAUGGAAGAGGUAAGUGGAAUUCCGAGUGUAGAGGUGAAAUUCGUAGAUAUUC
rnacentral:rRNA from 1 species